UUAACUAUUUAAUAGUACUCAGACGACACUAACAUUCAGAGUUUAGGGUUCUCUGGCGGGCAGGCUGGACCGAAAUCCAGGCAAGCCAGGCUUGCAGCCCGCCAAAGCAACAUUUGAUAAUAUUACACAAGGGUGGGAGAUCUACCCCGAGGGGCAUGAACUCUGUAAUGAUCCUUCCGCAGGUUCACCUACGGAAA
rnacentral:misc_RNA from 1 species